rnacentral:rRNA from 1 species
CCCCUAGAUGUUCUGGGCCGCACGCGCGCUACACUGAACAGUUCAACAAGUCUUAACCUUGGCCGAUAGGUCUGGGUAAUCUUUGAACGCUGUUCGUGAUUGGGAUAGACCUUUGCAAUUAUGGGUCUUCAACGAGGAAUUCCUAGUAAACGCAAGUCAUCAACUUGCAUUGAUUACGUCCCUGCCCUUUGUACACACCGCCCGUCGCACCUACCGAUUGAAUGGUCCGGUGAAGCCUCCGGAUUGGCGCGCACCUCGGUGCCGCCGAGAAGUUGGCUAAACCUUACCAUUUAGAGGAAGGUGAAGUCGUANCA